UUCCAGACUCCUACGGGAGGCAGCAGUGGGGAAUAUUGCACAAUGGGGGAAACCCUGAUGCAGCGACGCCGCGUGAGCGAUGAAGUAUUUCGGUAUGUAAAGCUCUAUCAGCAGGGAAGAAGAUGACGGUACCUGACUAAGAAGCCCCGGCUAACUACGUGCCAGCAGCCGCGGUAAUACGUAGGGGGCAAGCGUUAUCCGGAUUUACUGGGUGUAAAGGGAGCGUAGACGGCGAUGCAAGCCAGAUGUGAAAGCCCGGGGCUCAACCCCGGGACUGCAUUUGGAACUGUGUGGCUGGAGUGUCGGAGAGGCAGGCGGAAUUCCUAGUGUAGCGGUGAAAUGCGUAGAUAUUAGGAGGAACACCAGUGGCGAAGGCGGCCUGCUGGACGAUGACUGACGUUGAGGCUCGAAAGCGUGGGGAGCAAACAGGAUUAGAUACCCCCGUAA
rnacentral:rRNA from 1 species